rnacentral:piRNA from 1 species
UAAACACCCAGCAAUAGGGGACUGGUUC